rnacentral:misc_RNA from 1 species
UGGUUCUGGCAUCGAUGAAGAACGCAGCGAAAUGCGAUAAGUAAUGCGAAUUGCAGAAUUCCAGUGAGUCAUCGAAUCUUUGAACGCACAUUGCGCCCUUUGGUAUUCCGAAGGGCAUGCCUGUUCGAGCGUCAUUAUCACCCCUCAAGCCCUGUGCUUGAUGUUGGAGGGCUUUGGUCUCCUCGGCCAACCCCUCCCAAAGACAAUGACGGCGGCCUGUGGGACCCCCGGUACACUGAGCUUUUAACUGAGCACGUAUCGGAUGAGGGUGCCCAGGACACGGUCUUUAUUUUACCACUAAGGUUGACCUCGGAUCAGGUAGGAAUACGCGCUGA